AUACGGAGGGUGCAAGCGUUAAUCGGAAUUACUGGGCGUAAAGCGCGCGUAGGCGGUUUGUUAAGUCGGAUGUGAAAGCCCCGGGCUCAACCUGGGAAUUGCAUUCGAUACUGCCUGACUAGAGGAUGGUAGAGGGAAGUGGAAUUUCCGGUGUAGCGGUGAAAUGCGUAGAUAUCGGAAGGAACACCAGUGGCGAAGGCGACUUCCUGGGCCAAUACUGACGCUAAGGUGCGAAAGCGUGGGGAGCAAACAGGAUUAGAUACCCCGGUAGUCC
rnacentral:rRNA from 1 species